rnacentral:rRNA from 1 species
ACGCUCGACACCUACGGGAGCAGCAGUUAGGAAUAUUGGGCAAUGGAGGAAACUCUGACCCAGCAACGCCGCGUGAAGGAAGAAGGUUUUCGGAUUGUAAACUUCUGAUCUAGGGGAAGAAGGAAGUGACGGUACCCUAGGAGAAAGCCACGGCUAACUACGUGCUAGCAGCCGCGGUAAUCUGAGCGGGCUGGCAAGGC